AGCUCUUACAGGGUGUCCAUUAUCUAUUUUUGGCAAGUCAUUUUAGGUUUUUCAGACCAUUUUUUUGGCUCACAUUUCAAAUUUUCCAUUCUCAGGCCAUACUUUAAUUAAAGAAGUUUUGGAUGGCGAGGGUUUAUAAUAAGUUUCUCUCUGUCUCGAUACGUAUGAUGAAAUUUAUCAGACCAUAUCGAUUUAAUCUAUCUUUUCCGCAUUUCGGAGCAAGAUAAUAUUGAUGUUUUUAGACUAACAUCGAAGUACAUUCUGAAGCCAGUCAAGUUUUAAAAUCGCUCAAGUAGCUAGGUAUUUUUUUGGCAUCAUUUUUUUGUUUUUAUAACGCCUUUUUUCGAUAAAUUAAAUUAUACAAAUUUCGGUACAAAUUUGAAUUGAACGCUUUCAUUUGUACUUCAUCUUUCUCCAAUAUGGGUGCAUUGAUGCUUUUUUUAUACACCCUCGUAUUUUAUUGUAGUCGAUAUUUCGGAAAGCAAAGCCAAUAUUGAAGUAAGUUUACUGACCCCCUGAACCAAAGCAUUUUUCUGACAAAUUGAGGAAGAUGUGGGGGAAAGAGAACGUGUUUUGAACCAGUCAGGAGUACUCGUAGAUCAAAAAUAUCCCAAUGUAUUGAAAGUAAUCGCUGCAGAGAUGCUUUUGACAGAGCAAGUAGAUAGUGACGAUGACGUCAAACCUUUUAACUUUUCAAGUAAAGUAACUCUAUCAUUUGGACAGAUAUUAUCAACGUAGAAUAUUAUGAACCCAUAAAUGUUUGGAAUUUGUGUUGUUUUGUGUAUCCCAAAUGUGUCUGUAUGUAAAAAGACUAAAACGUAUAUUAAUUUAUCGCUUCAGAAUUACGGUUGACUAAAAGAUGAUAAAAUAAAAUUGAAGCUGCGCACUUGUU